UAGGAAGCUACAACUUGGUGCCAGACUCCUAAGCUACCUCCCAAAGAGACGAGGAUAGAAGGAACCAUCCAUCUUGAGGUUCACAUUCCAAAGAGAAGUCUCUGAGGCCUUCAAGAAGGACAUUCUGGGAAGUGAAAGUGAGACACCAACCACGGCCUCACUCUGUGCUCUUGGGUGUCAGGAGGUACACCAAAAUAGUAUCAGACCUGCACAGAACUGAAGAGAUGCUAAUCUUGCUCCUGUAUCUCCUUACUCUUUGGCUGGGAAAACACCCAGCAUAAUGUUACCUUUUGGACUUUAAAUGGACAGUAUUUAAAAGGAUUAUCCCCAUGCCUGUGUCAAUUGGACUGGGAAGAAUUUGAAAAAAUUAAUAACCACUGAUCUAAACUGAUGAACAGAGCAUACACAUCAGGCACAGGCAAAAAGCACUUACACCACAACAAAUGAGCAAGGUCAAAGCAAUUCAUUGAAGAAAUGAACUCUCAGGUGUGCAAAGGAAGGAGAGGCCAGGUGUCUCCAGGAGUUUUGCAGAAAGUGGUUACAGGAAGAGCCUAAAACAGAGAAACCAAGCCAAUACCUGCAGAACUGGACAGGACAUGGUAAGUGGAACCAAUCCUUGUUGGGGACAGUGUAGGGUAGGGAAUCUGUAGUUAACUUGUUAGUUUAUGCUUUUGUGUAGAGGGAGCCACAUCCUCAGCUCUGCCCUCCCCAUUUGUUGUCCUGUCAAAGGUGGCCAAGGCCUUUCCAGGUCCCUUGAGUGUUAUAAUAGAAACC
rnacentral:lncRNA from 1 species